CGGGAAACCGGAGCUAAUACCGGAUAAGAUAUCGAACCGCAUGGUUCGAUAGUGAAAGAUGGUUUUGCUAUCACUUAUAGAUGGACCCGCGCCGUAUUAGCUAGUUGGUGAGGUAACGGCUCACCAAGGCAACGAUACGUAGCCGACCUGAGAGGGUGAUCGGCCACACUGGAACUGAGACACGGUCCAGACUCCUACGGGAGGCAGCAGUU
rnacentral:rRNA from 1 species